AAAUGACCAAUCAGUCUUCCACUAUACAAUCCUGACUUGUAGAAAUAAUCCCCGUGAAGGAUGGCACAAAUACAACCAAAUAUAUCCUACAAUCAGUCUGAUGGUACGCUUUGAACUCCGAACCAAGCUCAUCGAAGGCCAACUUCCGAAUACUAAGGAGACUGCCACAUCUGACAGCUAACCAGUUGUUGCCACAGUGCAUCCAAUCUACACUACAAGCACCAAGGGGGCGCUGUGCACAACAUCAUAAAUCUAACAAUUCCUCCACAGCCACUUGAUACAUCAUCAACAAGUCCAUGACCCAUCAAAACUCCUUCUCAAAGCAAUGCAACCCUAAAACAACCCUUGACAACUUGAGUAACCGAUCAAUCCCUCACCCGUGAACAACUGUAGAACUAGUUCGGUGUAAGUCGACGGAACGACACUACGAAAGUUCGGCAGAUGUCAACCAACAGCUGUCUCUUAACCUUGUUUACGAAUAUUUACAAAAUAUAUUGUUCCAACCUAUUUUCAACUAUUUACCAAUCCUUAUUCAUGCGAUGGAAUAGAAACAUAUAAGGCGAUAUGGCUCUAAUAUGUCAGUAAACCUUCUGGAAGUGAUGAAUAACAAUCUAUGCAAGAAAUAUUCUCGGAAAGGUAUAGGGAAUAAGGCAGACAACGGCU